GCUGGCGGCGUGCUAAUACAUGCAGUCGAGCGGACAGAUGGGAGCUUGCUCCCUGAUGUUAGCGGCGGACGGGUGAGUAACACGUGGGUAACCUGCCUGUAAGACUGGGAUAACUCCGGGAAACCGGGGCUAAUACCGGAUGCUUGUUUGAACCGCAUGGUUCAAACAUAAAAGGUGGCUUCGGCUACCACUUACAGAUGGACCCGCGGCGCAUUAGCUAGUUGGUGAGGUAAUGGCUCACCAAGGCAACGAUGCGUAGCCGACCUGAGAGGGUGAUCGGCCACACUGGGACUGAGACACGGCCCAGACUCCUACGGGAGGCAGCAGUAGGGAAUCUUCCGCAAUGGACGAAAGUCUGACGGAGCAACGCCGCGUGAGUGAUGAAGGUUUUCGGAUCGUAAAGCUCUGUUGUUAGGGAAGAACAAGUGCCGUUCAAAUAGGGCGGCACCUUGACGGUACCUAACCAGAAAGCCACGGCUAACUACGUGCCAGCAGCCGCGGUAAUACGUAGGUGGCAAGCGUUGUCCGGAAUUAUUGGGCGUAAAGGGCUCGCAGAGNCGGUUUUCUUAACGUCUGAUGUGAAAGCCCCCGGCUCAACCGGGGAA
rnacentral:rRNA from 1 species